rnacentral:rRNA from 1 species
CGGCAACAGCUCAAAUUUGAAAUCUGGCUUCGGCCCGAGUUGUAAUUUGUAGAGGUGGCUUUUGGUGCGGCACCUACUGAGUCCCCUGGAACGGGGCGCCAUAGAGGGUGAGAGCCCCGUAUAGUAGGAUGCCUAGCCUGUGUAAAGCCCCUUCGAC